UAUUAUUUCUACAAUACACCCGAAACAC
rnacentral:sRNA from 1 species